CAAUGGAUUCACCAGUUCCCACUCAAAUCAAGCAGUAUAUGACAGGAACAGUAGUGUGGUUGAAGCAGUAAGUCAAGUCAAACACCAUUGUGAUUGGUCUCAUGCUUCUUGGACACCAAACUGAACAGUUAACCACUGAGGCAUCUUUCAACCGAAAGCAAACUUUGAACUGAAAGCAAUCCUGGGCAUCUUGUGUGUAGGAACAACUAUUGAAGUUAGUGCUCUACCAAACAUACCAGAGGAGGCAAUAAUACUGGGGAAAGGUGGUCCUGGGAUAAAUGUUAUCUGAGCUUUGCUUAAAGGUUUGAUACUAAAACUGA